rnacentral:misc_RNA from 1 species
GAUGAAGAACGCAGCGAAAUGCGAUAAGUAAUGUGAAUUGCAGAAUUCAGUGAAUCAUCGAAUUUUUGAACGCACCUUGCGCCCCUUGGUAUUCCGAGGAGCAUGCCUGUUUGAGUGUCAGUAAAUUCUCAAACCCUUCCAGCUUUUUGUAGUUGGCUCUGGGUCUUGGAUGUGGAGGUGUUGCAGGCCUUUUUGAGGUCAGCUCCCCUGAAAUGCAUUAGCAGAACCGUUUGCAAUCCAUCACAGGUGUGAUAAUUAUCUACGCCAGUGGGUUGCUCUCUGUCACUGUUCAGCUUACAAUUGUCCCAUUCUUGUGGACCAACUAUUGCUGAUUCUUUGACCUCAAAUCAGGUAGGACUACCCGCUGAACUUAAGCAUAUCAAUAAGCGGAGA